rnacentral:sRNA from 2 species
GCAGUCAUGGUGUUGUUGGGAAUCGAAUGUAGUUCCAAUUUUCGGUCUGAUGAACCGUCACAAGAACGCUUCGCUCGCUACUCUCUUCGUAAUUGAGAGCGAUGAUCUGUUCGCUCCAGGCAAUGGCAUCCAAGUUACAAAACAUAAUUAUUCACAAAAGAAACAUACAUCCAUCUUCAAUUUCCAUCUAAGAGCUAUUUAUCCUUUCAAACACUAGUAUAUCUCACAGACAGACAGGCACUAGUAGACAGCAAGCUUCGAAUUCGAUCCCUAUACGCCUGCAAGCAGGUAUGCGAGCUGGUAGUCAAGCGAAACCUCCGUAUAUGAUAGAGAGUUGACAGAGAUCUUGCAGGUAGGCAGCCAGAAGUAGGCGGAGAUAUCUAGAUUCAUGCUAUCCAUACAUACAUUAGCACAUCACCUUAGAGAGGAUGGUUCAACAUUAACCAUUAUUUCACCAUGUCCUAACAUGUAUCACUUGGAACUUUGGGCUAGCAUGAAGAUGGAAAGAAGUGCAAUAUGGCGGAUAAAAAAGCUUCG